GGUUAAGCGACUAAGCGUACACGGUGGAUGCCCUGGCAGUCAGAGGCGAUGAAGGGCGUGCUAAUCUGCGAUAAGCGCCGGUAAGGUGAUAUGAACCGUUAUAACCGGCGAUACCCGAAUGGGGAAACCCAGUGUGAUUCGUCACACUAUCAUUAACUGAAUCCAUAGGUUAAUGAGGCGAACCGGGGGAACUGAAACAUCUAAGUACCCCGAGGAAAAGAAAUCAACCGAGAUUCCCCCAGUAGCGGCGAGCGAACGGGGAGGAGCCCAGAGCCUGAAUCAGCAUGUGUGUUAGUGGAAGCGUCUGGAAAGGCGCGCGAUACAGGGUGACAGCCCCGUACACAAAAGCGCAUGUGCUGUGAGCUCGAUGAGUAGGGCGGGACACGUGGUAUCCUGUCUGAAUAUGGGGGGACCAUCCUCCAAGGCUAAAUACUCCUGACUGACCGAUAGUGAACCAGUACCGUGAGGGAAAGGCGAAAAGAACCCCGGCGAGGGGAGUGAAAAAGAACCUGAAACCGUGUACGUAGAAGCAGUGGGAGCCCCACCACCAAAGCAUUCUCUGGUGUUGAAGGCCCUGCAAAGCAGCAUCGCGGUGGCGGAGCGUCGUUUGCGACGCCCAACACACAAAACAAGCGGUGAGUGCUUUGGGGUGGGGUGACUGCGUACCUUUUGUAUAAUGGGUCAGCGACUUAUAUUCUGUAGCAAGGUUAACCGAAUAGGGGAGCCGGAGGGAAACCGAGUCUUAAUUGGGCGUUAAGUUGCAGGGUAUAGACCCGAAACCCGGUGAUCUAGCCAUGGGCAGGUUGAAGGUUGGGUAACACUAACUGGAGGACCGAACCGACUAAUGUUGAAAAAUUAGCGGAUGACCUGUGGCUGGGGGUGAAAGGCCAAUCAAACCGGGAGAUAGCUGGUUCUCCCCGAAAGCUAUUUAGGUAGCGCCUCGUGAAUUCAUCUCCGGGGGUAGAGCACUGUUUCGGCUAGGGGGCCAUCCCGGCUUACCAACCCGAUGCAAACUGCGAAUACCGGAGAAUGUUAUCACGGGAGACACACGGCGGGUGCUAACGUCCGUCGUGAAGAGGGAAACAACCCAGACCGCCAGCUAAGGUCCCAAAGUCAUGGUUAAGUGGGAAACGAUGUGGGAAGGCCCAGACAGCCAGGAUGUUGGCUUAGAAGCAGCCAUCAUUUAAAGAAAGCGUAAUAGCUCACUGGUCGAGUCGGCCUGCGCGGAAGAUGUAACGGGGCUAAACCAUGCACCGAAGCUGCGGCAGCGAACGUAUCACUUAAAGCGAUUCAGCGGGUUACGAUUGACGGAGCGAAGCGACGUCAAAGCGUAUACAAAGUCGAGUCGGUUUAAGGAUACGUUCGUUGGGUAGGGGAGCGUUCUGUAAGCCUGCGAAGGUGGCCUGUGAGGGUUGCUGGAGGUAUCAGAAGUGCGAAUGCUGACAUAAGUAACGAUAAAGCGGGUGAAAAGCCCGCUCGCCGGAAGACCAAGGGUUCCUGUCCAACGUUAAUCGGGGCAGGGUGAGUCGACCCCUAAGGCGAGGCCGAAAGGCGUAGUCGAUGGGAAACGGGUUAAUAUUCCCGUACUUGGUGUUACUGCGAAGGGGGGACGGAGAAGGCUAUGUUGGCCGGGCGACGGUUGUCCCGGUUUAAGCGUGUAGGUGUGUGUUCCAGGUAAAUCCGGUUCACUUUAACACUGAGGCGUGACGACGAGGCACUACGGUGCUGAAGCAACAAAUGCCCUGCUUCCAGGAAAAGCCUCUAAGCAUCAGGUAACAUCAAAUCGUACCCCAAACCGACACAGGUGGUCAGGUAGAGAAUACCAAGGCGCUUGAGAGAACUCGGGUGAAGGAACUAGGCAAAAUGGUGCCGUAACUUCGGGAGAAGGCACGCUGACACGUAGGUGAAGUGAUUUACUCACGGAGCUGAAGUCAGUCGAAGAUACCAGCUGGCUGCAACUGUUUAUUAAAAACACAGCACUGUGCAAACACGAAAGUGGACGUAUACGGUGUGACGCCUGCCCGGUGCCGGAAGGUUAAUUGAUGGGGUCAGCGCAAGCGAAGCUCCUGAUCGAAGCCCCGGUAAACGGCGGCCGUAACUAUAACGGUCCUAAGGUAGCGAAAUUCCUUGUCGGGUAAGUUCCGACCUGCACGAAUGGCGUAAUGAUGGCCAGGCUGUCUCCACCCGAGACUCAGUGAAAUUGAACUCGCUGUGAAGAUGCAGUGUACCCGCGGCAAGACGGAAAGACCCCGUGAACCUUUACUAUAGCUUGACACUGAACAUUGAGCCUUGAUGUGUAGGAUAGGUGGGAGGCUUUGAAGUGUGGACGCCAGUCUGCAUGGAGCCGACCUUGAAAUACCACCCUUUAAUGUUUGAUGUUCUAACGUGGACCCGUGAUCCGGGUUGCGGACAGUGUCUGGUGGGUAGUUUGACUGGGGCGGUCUCCUCCUAAAGAGUAACGGAGGAGCACGAAGGUUGGCUAAUCCUGGUCGGACAUCAGGAGGUUAGUGCAAUGGCAUAAGCCAGCUUGACUGCGAGCGUGACGGCGCGAGCAGGUGCGAAAGCAGGUCAUAGUGAUCCGGUGGUUCUGAAUGGAAGGGCCAUCGCUCAACGGAUAAAAGGUACUCCGGGGAUAACAGGCUGAUACCGCCCAAGAGUUCAUAUCGACGGCGGUGUUUGGCACCUCGAUGUCGGCUCAUCACAUCCUGGGGCUGAAGUAGGUCCCAAGGGUAUGGCUGUUCGCCAUUUAAAGUGGUACGCGAGCUGGGUUUAGAACGUCGUGAGACAGUUCGGUCCCUAUCUGCCGUGGGCGCUGGAGAACUGAGGGGGCUGCUCCUAGUACGAGAGGACCGGAGUGGACGCAUCACUGGUGUUCGGGUUGUCAUGCCAAUGGCACUGCCCGGUAGCUAAAUGCGGAAGAGAUAAGUGCUGAAAGCAUCUAAGCACGAAACUUGCCCCGAGAUGAGUUCUCCCUGAGACUUAGAGUCUCCUGAAGGAACGUUGAAGACGACGACGUUGAUAGGCCGGGUGUGUAAGCGCAGCGAUGCGUUGAGCUAACCGGUACUAAUGAACCGUGAGGCUUAACCUU
rnacentral:rRNA from 1 species